rnacentral:tRNA from 1 species
GGUGGCUCAGUGCUGGAGCGCUUGCCUCGCAUGCAUGAGGCCCUGGGUUCAAUUCCUCAGCACCA